GACGAAGGUGGCAAGCGUUAAUCGGAAUUACUGGGCGUAAAGCGUGCGCAGGCGGUUUUGUAAGACUGUCGUGAAAUCCCCGGGCUUAACCUGGGAAUGGCGAUGGUGACUGCAAGGCUAGAGUUUGGCAGAGGGGGGUAGAAUUCCACGUGUAGCAGUGAAAUGCGUAGAGAUGUGGAGGAACACCGAUGGCGAAGGCAGCCCCCUGGGUCAAAACUGACGCUCAUGCACGAAAGCGUGGGAAGCAAACAGG
rnacentral:rRNA from 1 species